GACGAACGCUGGCGGCGUGCUUAACACAUGCAAGUCGAACGGAAAGGCCCUGCUUUUGUGGGGUGCUCGAGUGGCGAACGGGUGAGUAACACGUGAGUAACCUGCCCUUGACUUUGGGAUAACUUCAGGAAACUGGGGCUAAUACCGGAUAGGAGCUCCUGCUGCAUGGUGGGGGUUGGAAAGUUUCGGCGGUUGUGGAUGGACUCGCGGCUUAUCAGCUUGUUGGUGUGGUAGUGGCUUACCAAGGCUUUGACGGGUAGCCGGCCUGAGAGGGUGACCGGCCACAUGGGGACUGAGAUACGGACCAGACUCCUACGGGAGGCAGCAGUGGGGAAUAUUGCACAAUGGGCGGAAGCCUGAUGCAGCAACGCCGCGUGCGGGAUGACGGCUUUCGGGUUGUAAACCGCUUUCGCCUGUGACGAAGCGUGAGUGACGGUAAUGGGUAAAGAAGCACCGGCUAACUACGUG
rnacentral:rRNA from 1 species